AUGUCAAGACAUCGGAUGUAUGGGAAUAAAUGGGUAGAAAUAGCAAAAUUUCUUCCUAGAAGGUACUACCUUGGUCCUCUUUGUUACCAGAUUCCUAACAUGAAUGGUGUAGCCCCUGCCACUUCCUCACUCUUUCCUGAACAUCGUACCGUGCAUCAGACAUCUGAAUAUUGCAGGAAUGGGCUAAAGCAAGACGACAAACCAGGUGAAUUAUUGGAGUUGCAAGAUACACAGACUCAGAGUAGUUUGGAUGGUGACUUGGGCUUCGUGCCUGGGAAAACUAGCGCCUGGCUUGUGCCUGAGUUGGUGCUGAUUUUUGCCUGA
rnacentral:rRNA from 1 species